UAAGCCCUGCUCAGAAGUCAAGAGCAGCAGCCCCGCCGCCUCGGCGCGGCCUUUCAAGACGCGGUCGCUCCUUAUUCUUGUGCCUCGGCCUCUCUGGUCGCCCCGGGACAAAGCCAUCGGAGCCCGGCCUCUCCCUUCCCGCUAAAUCCCCUUCGGGGUCAAUGCGCUACCAGCACCGGGCCGCUGGAUCUAGCCCCCCACGCCGACGCCUUAGGUCCCUGCUGCCCCGACCGAUGCCUGCGGACUUCUAGCCCCCUCCCUUCUCCUCCUCCCCUGAGCAGUUCGUGGGCCUGGCCUUAGGGCCAUAGGGCUGAGUUUUACCCCCGUU
rfam:Ailuropoda melanoleuca scaffold74_111, whole genome shotgun sequence.